rnacentral:rRNA from 1 species
GACGGAGGGUGCAAGCGUUGCUCGGAAUCACUGGGCGUAAAGGGUGCGUAGGCGGUCUCGCAAGUCUGGCGUGAAAGCCCAAGGCUCAGCCUUGGAAGUGCGCUCGAAACGGCGAGGCUGGAGUGCCGGAGGGGAGAGUGGAAUUCCCGGUGUAGCGGUGAAAUGCGCAGAUAUCAGGAAGAACACCCGUGGCGAAGGCGGCUCUCUGGGACGGUACUGACGCUGAGACGCGAAAGCGUGGGGAGCGAACAGG